UACAGAGGUCCCGAGCGUUGUUCGGAUUCAUUGGGCGUAAAGGGUGCGUAGGCGGCCUUCUAAGUUUGAUGUGAAAUCCCGGGGCUCAACCCUGGAAUGGCAUUGAAUACUGGAGGGCUUGAGUACCGGAGAGGAAACUGGAAUUUACGGUGUAGCAGUGAAAUGCGUAGAUAUCGUAAGGAAGACCAGUGGCGAAGGCGGGUCUCUGGACAGUUCCUGACACUGAGACACGAAGGCCAGGGGAGCAAACGGG
rnacentral:rRNA from 1 species